CUGGUAGUCCACGCUGUAAACGAUGUCGAUUUGAAGGUUGUUCCCUUGAGGAGUGGCUUUCGGAGCUAACGCGUUAAAUCGACCGCCUGGGGAGUACGGCCGCAAGGUUAAAACUCAAAUGAAUUGACGGGGGCCCGCACAAGCGGUGGAGCAUGUGGUUUAAUUCGAUGCAACGCGAAGAACCUUACCUACUCUUGACAUCCAGAGAAUUUAGCAGAGAUGCUUUAGUGCCUUCGGGAACUCUGAGACAGGUGCUGCAUGGCUGUCGUCAGCUCGUGUUGUGAGAUGUUGGGUUAAGUCCCGCAACGAGCGCAACCCUUAUCCUUUGUUGCCAGCACGUAAUGGUGGGAACUCAAAGGAGACUGCCGGUGAUAAACCGGAGGAAGGUGGGGAUGACGUCAAGUCAUCAUGGCCCUUACGAGUAGGGCUACACACGUGCUACAAUGGCGUAUACAAAGAGAAGCGAACUUGCGAGAGUAAGCGGAACUCAUAAAGUACGUCGUAGUCCGGAUUGGAGUCUGCAACUCGACUCCAUGAAGUCGGAAUCGCUAGUAAUCGUAGAUCAGAAUGCUACGGUGAAUACGUUCCCGGGCCUUGUACACACCGCCCGUCACACCAUGGGAGUGGGUUGCAAAAGAAGUAGGUAGCUUAACCUUCGGGAGGGCGCUUACCACUUUGUGAUUCAUGACUGGGGUGAAGUCGUAACAAGGUAACCA
rnacentral:rRNA from 1 species